rnacentral:rRNA from 1 species
AUUGGAGGGCAAGUCUGGUGCCAGCAGCCGCGGUAAUUCCAGCUCCAAUAGUGUAUAUUAAAGUUGCUGUGAUUAAAACGCUCGUAGUUUGAAUUAUAAGACACUAGAAUGGGCAGAAGCUUUUCGAAGUGGAGCUCUAUUCGCUAAGGUGUUUAGGUGAUACUUACUUCGGUUAGUGUCAUUACUUUGAAAAAAAUAGGGUGUUUAAAGCAAAUCUUAUGUUAAUGAAUAAUGAAGCAUGGGACAAUAUUGAAGGAGAUCCUUUAUGGAUUUCGAGGAUAAGGAUUAAGAGGAACAAUUGGGGUGAUUCAGAAAAUAACGGGAGAGGUAAAAUUCCAUGAUCGCUAUAAGAUGCACGAGAGCGAAAGCAUUUCACUCAAUUGCGUUCAUUAAUCAAGAACGAAAGUUAGGGGAUCGAAGACGAUUAGAUACCGUCGUAGUCCUAACUAUAAACGAUGUCAACCAAGGAUUGGAUUAGUUUUUGAGUGACUAAGAGUUAAUAGCAUUGCUAUUGACUCGAAGGAACUCGCUUUCACCUUAUUCAGAACUUAAAGAGAAAUCUUGAGUUUAUGGACUUCAGGGGGAGU